rfam:Myotis davidii contig144586, whole genome shotgun sequence.
GGCGGUUCUUAGGUGACACACCCUGAAAUCAGGCUCCCUCCUCUCUGGUUCCAAGGUUCACAUCACCUGAGAACCACC